rnacentral:rRNA from 1 species
UACAGAGGGUGCAAGCGUUGUUCGGAAUUAUUGGGCGUAAAGCGCGUGUAGGCGGCUUUGCAAGUCGGGUGUGAAAGCCCUCAGCUCAACUGAGGAAGUGCGCCCGAAACUGCAGAGCUUGAGUACCGGAGAGGAUGGCGGAAUUCCCCAAGUAGAGGUGAAAUUCGUAGAUAUGGGGAGGAACACCGGUGGCGAAGGCGGCCAUCUGGACGGAUACUGACGCUGAGGCACGAAGGUCAGGGGAGCAAACGGG